rnacentral:lncRNA from 1 species
UUGGUUAGGUAUCGAAGCGGGUGACGACGAUGGAAGGUCUCACUCUCACUGGAGUGCUGAGGAAGGCUGCCGGGGACUUCCCCUCCCGGCGCGCCAUAUCCAUCUCGGGCCGCCUCGAACUCUCCUACGCCCGCCUCCACCAGCUUGUGGAUGCCGCCGCCGCCUGUCUUGCCGACGCCGGCGUGCUCCCCGGUGACGUCGUUGCCCUGGCCUUCCCCAACACCGUCGAGGUUCGUUUGGCUUUCUUUAGCUUUGAUUUGAUUGAUAUCCGCCGCGGAGUCUGCCGGCCGUGCCGCUGACGAUGCCGUUGCUUUUGUGUUCGUGCAGCUUGUGAUCGUGUUCCUGGCCGUGAUCCGCGCCCGGGCUGUGGCGGCGCCGCUCAACCCCGCAUAUACUAAGGAAGAGUUCGCGUUUUACCUCUCUGACUCGGAGUCGAAGCUCCUGGUGAUCAACGCCGAGGGGAACGCGGCUGCGGAGGCCGCCGCUGCCGAGCUCGGGAUCCCCCGCUCCGCCGCGUCCCUCCCCGACGCCUCCGGCACGCUCGAGCUCUCCCUCCCCGCCGGCAGUACGGCAGCAGACGGGACCGCGCUGCCGCUCGACACGCGCGUCAAUGACCCCUCCGACGUCGCGCUGUUCCUGCACACCUCCGGCUCCACGAGCCGGCCCAAGGGCGUCCCCCUCACCCAGUUCAACCUGGCUGCCUCUGUCAAGAACAUCCGCUCCGUGUACCGGCUCAGCGAGACCGACUCCACCGUAAUCGUCCUCCCCCUGUUCCACGUCCACGGCCUGGUAGCCACCCUCCUCUCCUCCCUCUCCGCCGGCGCAGCCGUGGCCCUCCCAGCCGCCGGCCGCUUCUCGGCCUCCACCUUCUGGGCCGACAUGCGCGCCUCCGGUGCCACGUGGUACUCAGCAGUGCCCACCAUCCACCAAAUCCUUCUCGACCGCCACGCCACGCGGCCCGAGCCGGCCUACCCAGAGCUCCGCUUCAUCCGGAGCUGCAGCGCGUCGCUGGCGCCGGCGAUUCUGGAGCACCUGGAGGCGGCCUUUGGAGCGCCGGUGCUGGAGGCGUACGCGAUGACGGAGGCGGCGCACCAGAUGGCGUCGAAUCCACUACCGGAGGACGGCCCACGGAAGCCGGGCGCGGUGGGGCGGCCGACGGGACUGGAGAUGGCAAUCCUGGAUGAGGAGGGCGCGCGCCGCCCGCCAAACGUUCCCGGGGAGGUGUGCAUCCGGGGCCCUA